UUUUCUAGACUUCUGACUUUUGCAAAUCUACCGUCCUAAGAAUAUAUAUCUAACAGAAUUUUUUUAUGAUUUCUAUAAUUAUAUUGGUAUUCAGGAGAGUGAUAAAUGAAAAUGAAUUUUAGAAAUUGUAAAGUUGCCUUUCGGCCGGAACCGCCAUCUUCCAGUAAUUCGCCAAAAUGACGAACACAAAGGGAAAGAGGAGAGGCACCCGAUAUAUGUUUUCUAGGCCUUUUAGAAAACAUGGAGUUGUUCCUUUGACCACAUACAUGCGAAUCUACAAGAAGGUGAUGUUGUAGACAUCAAGGGAAUGGGAACUGUUCAAAAAAGAAUGCCCCACAAAUGUUACUUUUAAAACUGGAAGAGUCUACAAUGUUACCCAGCAUGCUGUUGGCAUUGUAAACAAACAGGUUAAGGGCAAGAUUCUUGCCAAGAGAAUUAAUGUGUGUAUUGAGCAUAUUAAGCACUCUAAAAGCCGAGACAGUUUCCUCAAACGCUUGAAGGAAAAUGAUCAGAAAAAGAAGGAAGCAAAAGAGAAAGGAACCUGGGUUCAACUGAAGCGCCAGCCUGCUCCACCCAGAGAAGCACACUUUGUGAGAACCAAUGGCAAGGAGCCUGAGCUGUUGGAACCUAUUCCCUAUGAAUUCAUGGCAUAAUGGAUGUAAAAAUAUAUAUAAAAUAAAAGGCCAAGACCGCCGUACUAUAAAAAAAAAAAGAAA